rnacentral:rRNA from 1 species
UACGUAGGGGGCAAGCGUUGUCCGGAAUCAUUGGGCGUAAAGCGCGUGUAGGCGGCCAGAUAAGUCCGCUGUGAAAACUCGAGGCUUAACCUCGAGACGUCGGUGGAAACUGCCUGGCUAGAGUCCGGAAGAGGAGAGUGGAAUUCCUGGUGUAGCGGUGAAAUGCGCAGAUAUCAGGAAGAACACCCGUGGCUAAGGCGGCUCUCUAGUACGGUACUGACGCUGAGACGCGAAAGCGUGGGGAGCGAACAGG